CGAUAAUCAGGAUCAAUAAC
rnacentral:misc_RNA from 1 species